GUCAAGAAAGCUUAUUAAGUAGGAUUUCAUAAGACUUAGGUCGAGUUUGGCUUUUAGUUGUGCCUGCCGCCUAUCGAACUCUUAAUUCAUUAUCGUCAUCCGUUAAGUGGACAGCUGACAUUUCCCUGAUCUUUUAUAAAACAUGAGAAUAAGUAUCUUUGGGAAAUCUUUCUAUUUUCAUUAAUCUGUAACUUAUAUUCCAAGUAGAAACUUUCCCUGAAGGGGCAGCUUGUAGUUGUUUACUAGUUUCCUGCUAGCCCUCCCACCACCAUCCACUCUGAUAGCUGUGCUAAGUUCCUUCAUAUGAAAGUUCUGGAGCCAUCACUGUUUUCUCCUGUGAAGGACACAAGCUGUAGUCUUUUCGCUGGGAGAAGCUCCCAUCUGCCUUUCUUUGUAAUAAUGGAGAGAACGCCAUAGUGAAAGGGUUAAAACUCAGCAAACUGCUGAAGAGUGACAAGCCCUAUCACUUAACUGUGAAAUUGCUUGUUAUUCUGUCUUACAAAGGGAGACGUGUUGUUGAGCUGAUUGUCGUAGACAGCUUUUAUUCUCACUUAUCUGUGUGUCUCCUUUGAAAAUGGAACUUGAAAUUCUACCAUCCUCAGUUUUCUGUUUUUAAUUUGAAAAACAGCCAACAUCCCCUGUGAAUUGCAGUAAAGGAACAAAGCAUUAAAAGGCAUAUCCUUUUCCCAACAAAAGCUCACAGUCUAAUCAGUAAAGUAUUUAUUGAGCAACUAUGCCAGGUUUUGAGCUGAGGCUGAGCCUGCAAAGUUGAAAUCUGUGUUCUCUGACCUCAAGGAACAUGAAUGAAUAAUUAGAAUAUAAUAAAACUGUGCUAGUAGGUACAAAAUGUGAGAGCCCAGAACAUGCAUAUAAAGCAAACAUAUCUGUAAACUUCAAGGAAGACUGGGAAAUGGUUUAAUAAAAAUAGAUACAAUGUUAUGGCAGAUAUUUAAAAAGAUGCUCAGAUAUUAUGUGUCAAGGAUCAUCAGCAAUCAGCAAAUCAUUAAUUUUGAGAACUUGGGAUCACAGACUCUAAUGUUAAGUAUUGUGCUAGAAGCCAUGUACAGAGAAGUAAAAGUAAGAUGAUCAUACUUUUACAAUCUCAAAAUAAGCUUACGUAGACAAAUAAGAAUGUUCCUAAGAGGUCAGUGAGACCAAAUAUUUGAUAUCAGAUCCUUUCCAACAAUGUAGAGGCAUCAUAUUUGUAGAUGUAAAUUACAGUUUUCAUUCCUUAUGAGCCUAAAUUUCAGCAUCAAAAUGUUAAAAGUGAUAUGUGAAUACAGAUAUCACAGUGUAAACCACGAUUAAUUUUCAAAUGAGUUGUAGAAUUAAAAUAUGUCAAGUAUUUAGAGGAAGGGAAGAUCACUGACAGAGUAGACUGGAAAGACUUUAUAAUUAGGAGCUUGACCUGUGAAGGACAGAUAGAUAGAAUUUAUUGAGAACUUACCAAGCUCUUUACAUCUAAUUCAUAUUUGUUCUUUAUAACCCUGAGAGGCAGAUUUUUGUCUUACAUCUCCAUUUUAUAGAUGAGAAAGCUGACAGAAGUUACUUGCCCUGAGUCACACACCUAGGAAGUGGUAGAAUUAGAUUUCAGAUCUAGCCCUGUCAGACUGUAAAGACCAUCCUUUGAACUGUAAAUGGUAUAAAAGGCAUACAGAGGAAAUGCCAGGCAUCCUCAGUGGCUUAAAUACGACCUCACAGUAAACUCAGGCUAGACCAGGGAUGACACAUAAAAGUUGAUAGUUUUCAUUUGUGUUGCCAUCAGCCUCCUCUAUAAAUAAACCCAGAGUAACCACAAAUUGCCAUCCUGAGGGGUUCAACAGGGAAUAGUCUCAUAAUGGAUUUAGAGUGAAGGAUGAUUGGCAUUGUUAGGCAGGCAAGCAGAGGGCUGAGCAGUCAAAUAAGAACAGAAUUUCAGAACAAAAGAUUAGAGGGCAGAAAUGCUGUAUGUGCUGAUAGAGUCAGAGAGGGCCCGGAUCAAGAAACUGCAGGAAGAGAAAACUAGAAACCUAGAAUCAUCUAGAAAGCUAGAACCUACAAUCGUCUCAGAACACAAAGGAGGCUUCAGGACUUAGCAGACUGACAUAGAUGUACUUGGACAACACCUCACCAAGGAGCAUGUCUCUUCCCACUCACAAUCCCCAAUACGAGAUUCACAGUGGUUCACGCUGAGUCCACAGGAAAAAUUGGCCUGGGGUACAUCAUCUAAAGAUCGUAGGAUUGCUUCAGGUCAGCAGUCUCCACUGGAAAAAAAGAUCUUGGCUUUGAUUUGUUGGAGAAACUGUUACCAGAAAAACAGGUCCCGAUCCCGACCCCAAAAGAGUAUUCUUGGAUCUUGCACAGGAAGGAAUUAAAGGUCUAGCUCUGUCUCCUCAGCACAUGUUCUAGGCUCUGACUGCAAGCGCUGACUUGGGCUCCCGGCCCCACACAGACCCUCUGUUCCAUGAAAGGACCAUCUAUGCAAAGUGCCCCCCAAAUGCCAAAGGAGCCAAUAAACCAAGGAACAAGACAGACAAAUCUAGUUUGUCAGUAAAGAGUGUUUUAUUGGGGAACUUACAGACAGAAGCGUGGUCUUGGAUGGCAGCAAGACAGGUCUCACAAAGUUUUAUAGCUUCAAUGAUUUCACCUGGGCCAAGAUUUUGGUUUUUUUGAUGUUAUUUGUUUGAACUGCUGCCUGGGGCUUAGAAAAGUGACUUGGAUAUUUUGUCAAAAUGGAUUUUCUUCGAUGGAAUGUGAAAUCCGCAAACACUCUGCUUUCCUGCUGUAUCCCCAGAGCAGCCUCAUUUGGCCACAGGCCCAGUGUCAACACCAGGGGGCGCCACAGACCAUGAAGGCGCCCACAGACCACGAAGGCACUGUGCAGCUGGGAUUGUUUGUGGUCGGCUACUGGGUCCCUGACUUAACCAGGGGAGCCAAGACCCUGCAGCCAAGUGGCCUGGAUUCAACCUGCAGCUCAGGUCUUACUGACACUUCUCCCCCUGGUGCCUCAGUUUCUUAAUCUGUGAAAUGGUGAGGACAUUACAGCAUUUACCUCUGGGGCGGGUUUCUCAACAGCAGCAUUAUUAACAAUUUGGGACAGAGAAUCUUGUGGAGUGGUCUGUCCUGUGCAUUGUGGGAGGUUUGGCAGCAGCACCCCACUCACCCCCUCCCACCAAUCCCCAUGUGACAACCGAAAAUGUCCCAGGAUUUUUAGGUCUCCUUUGGGUCUAGAAGCUGCACUUAGGCAUUUUCCCACCUGACACUUGAGUUCAUCUCUGCUUUGGUCCACAUAAGGCCACUUUAAAAAAAUGUUGUUUCUUUAAAGAUUCUAACCAUCUUUUAAACAAAUCCAUUUUCUUCCUCUAUUUCUGCAUUCAGUUAAUCCUUCCAAACCCUUUGUUUAGUAUAUCUUGAAAUGUAUCAUUUCCAGUUCUAGUAAUUAGCAUGUCUGACUUGCAUGAUAUCUGCUAUGACCCCUAGUAGAGCUCUGAUUCCUUUAGCACAGGGAAUGUGUUCUCAAUUCUGCUCUGGAUGAUGUAAAUCAAUUUAUUUUACUUUACUUGUCUGGGAUGUUGCUCCUCAUCUGUAAAAUGUAAAUGUGGAUAUGGCUUGGAUUACUAAGUGGUUUUAUUUCUUCAUUCACCUGACAUUUGUUGUGUACCUGCUGCAAGUCAAAUACAUGGCAUGGUAUUGUUUCCUUGUUCACACCACAGCAAAUGAGAAAAUGAGACAUUAUAGCCAGGUGUGGCGGCACAGGCUUGUGGUCCUAGCUACUCAGAAGGCUGAGGCAGGAGAAUUGCUCCAGCCCAGGAGUUUGAGGUUACAGUAAGGUAUGAUAUCACCAUUGCAUUUCAGCCUGGGCAACAGACCCUGUCUCUGAAAAAAGGGAAAAAGACCUUGUGAGCUGUCUACAUGUACUCUAUGUCUCAGGAGACUCAUAUCCUGUAAUUUUUCUAAAUGGCAUCUCCAUGUGGUCUUUCAUGAAUGUUUGUCUGGUAUUUAUUCUCUAUCCUUUUACUUUCAACUUUUCUUUACCUUCUACUGAAAUUAUGUCUUUUGUAAACAGCCCAUGAUUAGUUAGUUAGUUAGUUAUUUUUACCCCCCUGCACUAUUUGUCUUGUAAUUGGAGUGUCUGAGUCCAUUAUGUUUAAUGUAAUUAUUGACCUCGUUGGGUUUAAGUCUGUCCAUUGUCAUUUGCUGCCUUCUAAUAUUAUCUCUUUCUUGCUCAACUAUUUUUCUUAUGUUACCUUCUUUAGAUGAAUAAAAACCUUUGCAUUAUUGUAGUCUUCUAAGUGUCCUAAUUACACAUUCUCUUAUUAUUUCUUUAAUUAUCUGAGAAAGCAUAAUGAUCUGUGACUUAUUAUAACCAAUAGCAGACCAUAACUUCCCUGACUUUCACCUACCUGUGCACACAGCCCAGGGGAGAAUCAGUGCUCUGGCUCUGAGACACAGCGGUGGUGGGAGUGGGAGAGUGAUUGGAUGAUGAAUCUGUAGCUGCAGAGGCAUCUGGGCCCCUCACCUGCAUUCCUCAUAGAUGUCUCCUCCAUUGAAUGCCUGCGAUGCCCUCUCCUCUGUAUGCUCCUGCCAGAGUCUCCCCAUCUCCACUGACAGCAGCUCCACCCUUCUGCUCACUCAGUCCAGUACUGUGGGUGUCCUUGAUUCUUCUUCUCACAUUCAUUAGCAAGUGCUGUGAGUCCAUCUUCAAAUUCAUCCAGAAUCCCUUCACUUCUCACUAUUUCCCCUGCUCACACCCUAGUCAAGGUAAGCAACGUGUCCAUCCUAGAAUACUGUACUCCUUUCCCACCAUUUUCCGCACUGCAUCACUGGUUCCCCACCUCUCAAUUCUGUUCUUAGCACAGCAGCCAGAAAGAAGCUUUCAAAGGAUGAGCCCUACCAUGUCCCACUUUUCAAAACUGUCCUCCCCAUGUCAUUCAGAGCAAAGGUCAACACCCUUCCCACACCCUUCAGGGCUACCUGCUCUAGCCACACCUUUGACCUCACUUCAGUUUCUCUGUGUCCAGCCCUUCUGUCCUCUUCCUCAUUCCAGGAACACAGACAAUUUCCUGCCCUAGUGCAUCUGCACUGAAGGUUCCCCUGCCUGAAAAGAACUUUCCCAGACAUCUUUGUAGACAACUCCUCACAUCCCUCAAAUCUUUACUCCAAGGUCACAUUUGCAACAAGGCCCAUGCUGACCACCCAGCACAACAGCCACCUUCCUGUCCCCACAGCCCACCCUCUGGAUCACCUGCCACACAGCACUUGCCACCUUCUAACUCAAGCAUUUUCUGUUCCUACUCUGCUUAUACUAUAUCUAUCAUCUGCCUACAGAGGUGUCCAAUUUUUUGGCUUCCCUGGGCCAGUUGGGAAGAAUAAGCAUUGUCUUGAACCACACAUAAAAUACACUAAUGACAGCUGAUGAGCAGAAAGAAUAGAAAAAAGAAAAAAAUGUGUGUGCAUAAUUUUCAUGAUAUUUGCUACCACAGAUAAGCAAAACAACUUCUUACAUUCAAAGCUGUCCUGGGCCACAUGCAGCCCGAGAGCUGCGGGUUGGACAAGCUUGCAUCUAGAACGUAUACACCACAAGGCCAGAAAUUUUUCUGUUUUUACUUUAAUGAUGUUUUCUAAAUGCAAAAACAGUCAUAUACCUAGCAGACAACAAAUGUCAGUUGAAUGAAUGAUCACUGUAGAGCACCUCUGUAUUCUAAAGGCAAUAUCUUUAUUAACGUAGCUAAAGAACAACAUCAUCUCACACCAACAUCAGUGCUGCCAGUGCUUUUCUCACCAGGGCUGCUUGUGUGUCCUUCCCACCUCCUCCCGCACCAACCCUCCUGCACACUGCAGCACACAGCCAUAUUUUUCUGUUCAGGAAAGAUAAUCCUAGCCUUGUGGGUCCAAUUUUCCAACCCCAUAUAAAUCUAAAUUAGACUCUGCUUUAUAAAUGCAUGAGUUUGGAUUGGAGCCAGCACUGGGAUUACUACAACUCAGGCAGGAAGAAGAGUAGGAGAGCAGAAGAGGAGUUCCAACAGAAAGUUACCUACGAUGAGAAACUAUGGGACCCCUCCUCUCUGCAAAUUUCAGAAUCUGCUUCCUUUAAGAAGGUUGGGGAAAAAGAUGGAAAAUACAGUCCAGGAAAGAGACCUGGAAGGAGGGCAAAAGAUACAGGGGUCUGAAAAUUUGUCUCUUGAUACCGGAAGGACUUCGAUGUGUAGGGACCACCCUAGGUGACAUCCAAGUCCCUGUGAUCACAGAUCCUGGUGGGACAAGGUUCUACUGAAGGGCCAAGGACAAUGGAGCAGCAAAGAUGACCCAGGUGAGCUGUGACCACAUAAAGCCCAUGGUGGCCUGAGCACACACUGGGCACAGCCCCAUCUACUCUCCUCCCCUGCAACAAAUCAGCACAAGAAACACGUGGACUCUGGAAGGUUCUCAUGUCUUCCAUUUAUUUUGUCUCUCAAAUUUUAGGAAUCUUCUCCUUUAACCCAUCAACCUGUCAUGGAAAUAAUUUGAAAAAAGUAAAUUUAUACUCAGAUUCUAAUUUUAAUAGGGAAGUAAGAAGUUACAGCUCAGUGCACCAUGAAGUUGAGACAGAGAUGGAGACAUCCCAGCACCACUUCUCUGGAACAGGAAAGGUGAUCAGGGAAGGAAUGUAGAAGGCACUACCACAACCGCCCACUUCUGGAAGGUUCCAUCCCCUGCGGGCCUGGUCUCCACGAGCUCCAUGUCCUGGGUCUGGUCCUCCCCAUCCCGCUGCCAGGUCAAUGUGAUCUCCGCAAGCCCGGGAGAUCUACAGGAGAUCGAGCAGGCUCCCCAUGGCCCCUGGUACCCGCGCGCUGCAGCGUCUCCUUCCCGUUCUCCAGGUGUCUGCGGAGCCACUCCGUGCAGGUGCCCUCCAGGCAUACUGCUCAUACCCGCGGAGGAGACGCCCGUCGGGCCCCAGGUCGCAGCCAAACAUUCCCUGGAGGAUGUGAUACGCUGGCCCAGUUCCCGCGGUCAGUCCCGCCCACCGAGCCCCGGCCCGGCCCCUAGCAACCUGCGGAGAUGUUGGCCUCAACUGAAGAUGAAACCAGGUAAAGGCGCCUGGGGCUCUCCCGGGUCGAGGAUCUCUGCAGGUCCCGCAGCCUCGGGGUCGAUCUUGGACCCGGAGACUCAGGGGACCAGGGCCGUCCGUGAGGCAUGGAGCGGGGAGUAAGUGAUCUGCGCCCCGGGCCGGGGUCACUCACCCGCCUCGCUCUGGUUGUAGUAGCGGAGCAGGGUCCGCAGGUUCAGUCGGUCAGUCUGUGCCUGGGCCUUGGCGCCCAGUGUCUGUAGGUCCCAAUACUCCGGCCCCUCCUGCUCCACCCACCGCGCCCGCGUCUUCAUCCUCAGACUCACGGCGUCACUGUCGACCCGCACGAACUGCGUGUCGUCCACGUAGCCCACGGCAAUGAAGCGGGGCUCCCCGCGGCCGGGUCGGGAAACGGCGGUGCUGAAAUACCUCAUGGAGUGGGAGCCUGGGGGCGAGGAGGGGCUGAGACCCGCCCGACCCUCCUCCCGGCGCGGCUCCCCGGGUCCUGCGCCCCAGCCAGACGGACCUGUCGCUCCUCACGGCAGAGGCCGUUUCCCUCCUGACCCCGCACUCACCCGCCCAGGUCUCGGCCAGGGCCAGGGUCCCCGAGAGCAGCAGGAGGAGGGUUCGGGGCGCCAUGACCCCAUCGUCGGCGUCUGGGGAGACUCCGAGUCCCGGUGGGUGCGUGGGGACUUUAGAACCGGGGCCGCGCGACGCUGAUUGGCUUCCCUAGAAACCCGACACUCAGUGGGAGUGAGAACUGGGUCCGCGUCGUGAGUGUCCAGGAAGAAGGACCCGUCGCAGGCUGGGAGAGGGAGAAGAGAAACUCUGCGGAGAUGGGGAAUCCCCAACGCUGCACCUCCCCAGCCCAUGCACCGCCUUCGGGGCCUGAGACCCUGAGAGCCAUGCCUGGGGCUCUGGGACUUCGCCCUGACCCCGCUCCUCCUGUGACAAACGCUCUGUCUCAAUGUCCCCUGAGUCUUGGCCCAGGAGCUGUCCGAGAAACCAGGAAGAAACCCUCGGCUUGGGCCCCGUCUCUCUCCCUUCACUUUUCAUCCGGGAAUUCCUGUCCCUGAAAUGGACUACCUGCUUCGCCACUGCUUACCUGUUCCCCUGGACUCUUCUAGAAGAAAACUCACCCCAGGGAGCUUGGUGCCAGAGAGGGAGCUCUCCCUGGGAAUGGAGGUGUAGAGACAGAGCUUUUUUUCUUUUAUUUCUUUUUUCUUUUUCUUUAAAUCUGGAAAAGUUGUGCCUGGGUGCAUGAGAUAGUAUAGAGACCAGUUUGCUUUUUGUGUAGUAACUACAGUGGGUAGCAGAAUCUUGGUAACCCCUGAAUGAUCAGGAAUCUAAUUGGUAAAAACAUGUGACUUUGGCCUCUUGAUAUAUAAAGUGUCUAAAAGCAUUACAACAGGACUCACAAAGCUCCUAAGUUUCACUUUUGCAAACAAGGUAUCUGUGACUCCCGCUUGUGGUAUUUUAAAUUUACCUUUAUUCCAUAGCCCUGAGUUUCUGUGAGUCCAGGACAUCUCCUCAAUACAAAGUAGCCACUGUGUUCCUAUGUGUUGCAACCAGGAGUCAGUACAGACUUUAUUCACCUCAAAGUUGCAAGCGCUCGAUGCAGUCACAAUGCCCAUCACCAGUGCUCAUGCACUGCCUGUUUUUAGGAAGUAUCCACAUCUAAGUGGUGUGUAUAUUUCUUAGGAACACUUAGUAUUUUUAAAACCUGAUUAACAUAAAAACAAUUAGUUUUUAAGCAGACCCACUUAAGGUAUUAAAGGCCAACUGCAAGUAACACGCUGCAAGGCUCUGUAGAUGGAUCUAUUGAAAUACCAUAAAAAAAAAGUGUUCAAACCUAA